rnacentral:rRNA from 1 species
UACACACGUGCUACAAUGGCUAGUACAGAGGGUUGCGAAGUCGCGACGCGGAGCUAUCUCUUAAGCCAAUCGUAGUCCGGAUUGGAGUCUGCAACUCGACUCCAUGAAGUCGGAAUCGCUAGUAAUCGCGGAUCAGAAUGCCGCGGUGAAUACGUUCCCGGGCCUUGUACACACCGCCCGUCACACCAUGGGAGUGGAGGGACACCAGAAGUCCUUAGUGUAAC